AGCUAAAUGCGGAAGAGAUAAGUGCUGAAAGCAUCUAAGCACGAAACUUGCCCCGAGAUGAGUUCUCCCUGAGACUUAGAGUCUCCUGAAGGAACGUUGAAGACGACGACGUUGAUAGGCCGGGUGUGUAAGCGCAGCGAUGCGUUGAGCUAACCGGUACUAAUGAACCGUGAGGCUUAACCUUACAACGCCGAAGGUGUUU
rnacentral:rRNA from 1 species